AGAGUUUGAUCAUGGCUCAGGACGAACGCUGGCGGCGUGCUUAACACAUGCAAGUCGAGCGAGAAAGCACCUUCGGGUGUGAGUACAGCGGCGAACGGGUGAGUAACACGUGGGCAACCUGCCUCAGAGACUGGGAUAACGUCCCGAAAGGGACGCUAAUACCGGAUGAUGCGCGACCUGCCAAGUGGGUCGCGCCAAAUGGUAGCUUCGGCUUUCUACUCGUGGGAUGGGCCCGCGCCGGAUUAGCUUGUUGGUGAGGUAACGGCUCACCAAGGCGACGAUCCRUAGCUGGUCUGAGAGGACGAUCAGCCACACUGGGACUGAGACACGGCCCAGACUCCUACGGGAGGCAGCAGUGGGGAAUCGUUGCGCAAGUGGGCGAAAGCCUGACGCAGCRACGCCGCGUGGGGGAAGAAGGCCUUAGGGUUGUAAACCUCUUUCAGGUGGGACGAAGCCACUCGGGUUAAUAGCCCAGAGGGUGACGGUACCGCCAGAAGAAGCCCCGGCUAACUACGUGCCAGCCGCCGCGGUAAUA
rnacentral:rRNA from 1 species